AUAAAUGAUGAUCUGAAAUCCAGGAAAUAGAGUUUUACAAGGGUUCUGUAAACUUGGGAAUCACUUAGUCCGAAAGGAGAGUGAUCCUCCCCUUUUAUUCUUUUCCUUUGUCUGUCAGUGACGUGUAACGGUCUCGCUUCCAUUGGGCCACAUGUCCCUGCCAUACUGAUACGAUCGUACGAGGGUAUCAGGUCUCUGUUUCAUGCAUAACGACCAUUUAAUUCUCCUCUGGCACGCAUGCGGAUGGACCCACCAGUCGGAUGGGCUGGCCAUUUUCCUUCUCCCGGGUUGGGCUGGAAGGUGAGAUUGAGAUUGGGCCUAGAGGAGGUCUGAUCAGUGGACCAAAAGGGUUGGGCCGAACUGAUUGGGAAAUCUAGGUUGAGCCCGGUCCUAAGGCUGAGCGGGCUGGAUCUGACUCAUGUAGGAGACUUAGAAGCCUUUGGAUCACGGGCUGUCAUUAUGGGCCUGGCCUUAGACCGGGGUAGUGAAAUUCAGCGGUCAUCAAUGGCCCCUUUACCUUCUCAUCAGUUAUUGCCCGAAUGAUGAGGGGGUAAAUACCGAGAAUCAUUAUGACUGCGCCCCCCUUUUUCACAUCCGAGCCCCUUAUCGUAAUGAGAGGAUUGUUCUUCCCGAUCCUCCCCCCUCUGGUCUGGUCAACCCUCAGAAAGACGUCAGCUUGGUCUUCUUUGCCAAGCAGUGGGAAUACGGUCUAUCGUUUGCCUUCACUCCUUUCGUUAUCGAAGUCUUCCGGUAUUUCGAGAUUACUCCUCGAAUGCUGACCCCUAAUUCUGUUCUCUUCAUGUCUUCCUUUGAAUCUGUUUGCCGGAGCUGGGGAUUCACUCCCACGGUGCGCCUGUUUGUUACCUUCUUCAGGCUAGUCAAGGCGAGCCAGAAAUUUUAUUACUUUGCCCCUCGUGGGGGGUUGUCGAUUUUUACGGGUUAUAAGGAUUCUAUCAAGGGAUGUGUAACGACUCGGAAAUCGGACCGCUACCGGCGCUAGGAUCCAGAUCGGCUUAGGGCUGCCGGGACCCGUAGCAAGCCAAACAUUCAUCCUGUAUACCUGUUUAAUCCCAUACAUGAUCAACAAUUACAUAAAAAUUUAAAACUUUUCUUUUCAUCCAAUCACCAAACUCAACCUGUGCACGCACAAAUCAUAAACAUAAUCAUCAACCCCACACUGGAGUCCUCAUCAAAUACUCCAAUGGGAUAACAUAACAUAUAGUGAGUUUGGCUUACUUAAAACAUCAUUAAACCAUUACAUUUGAAAGAUCAUGUAAACAAAGGGAUUAACAUACAAUCUAGGGUCAAGCACAACUAAUCCUCAAUAACAUCAUUACAUUACACUUCAUAACUAACUAAUACUAUUCAUUACAUUUCAAUAUUUAUCAUGUCCACCACUAGCUAUUACAUGACCAUGACUUUACUCUUCUUGACCUCCUGGUCUAUCCCGUACCUGCAAACCUGGCGUUAAGGGAGUGGGGUGAGCUACUAGAGCCCAGUGAGCAGAAUAAUAAAACAUUUAAAUCAUAUGCUAUAAUGGAAUGCAUCACAUCACAGACAAAUCACAUUAAGGAUGGUUUUGUCACCAAUAGUCCUCAACAUACCCAAUAGUGCUAGGGGCAUAGAAUGGGCCUCGACCUGGUCUUUCUCUUAGCAUAACAUACAUGACAUAACAUUCCUAUAAUGCCAGGGGCGUAGAAUGGGUCUCGACCUGGACUUCCAUACCAUACCAUAUCAUAUCACAUCAUAUCAUACGAGGACUAAAGGAUCAUCCAACACCCAUCCACAUCAUCAUCAUAUUAUGCAAUGCAACAUAUUCGUGAAUUCUAAUGCAAGUACCCUAGUAUAUCUCAUGGCAUUCAUGAUGCGUGAAUCAUGCUAGGAACUGAUUUAUUUACUUUAAAGCAUAAAGAGUUAUUCCACUCACCUUAGGCUAGCUCAAAUGACUCUGGAGCAGCUAUCUCACUGCUGAGGUCCGCGGUUCCUCGGGUCCGACCCUACACAGGUGGACUCAAAUGAGGGACCAAACAUCCAUGAACAUGACUCUAAGAUACUCCCCAAAAACCCCCAAAAACACCUUAAAACAAUCAUAGAAAUCAUGCAAAGGAGGGCUGAACAUGACACUUUCGGCGGCAGGUUCGGCGGCCGAAAGUCCCUCCAGAGCCGAAAGUCAUGCACCUUCGGCGGCCGAAGGUUCCCUCCAGAGACGAAACUCAUGCAUGUUCGGCGGCACCUUUGGCGGCCGAAAGUCCCUUCCAGGGCCGAAAGUCCACUUUCGAGGGCAGGGUUCGGCAGCCAAAAGUUGGCCUCCACAGGCAGGUUCGGCGGCCGAAAGGGCCUUCGGCUGCCGAACCUGGGUCCUCCCAAAGUGGCAGAACCCAGCCUUUCACAUGCAUAAACGCCUCCCAACUCAAUCAAUCAUGCAUUUUCCUAUUCUACAACAUGCAUACUCAAGCAUAUAAGCUCCUAGGGGCUUCAAACUAUCUUAAACCCCAACUACAAUACAUCAAACAUGCAUAUUCAACAUACAUUGCUCAAAACUCAACAUAAAAAUCCAUAAACUUGAAAUAACCUAAACAUGCAUUUCUACCCCAAAGAUCUUCAUAAAACUUGUUUAAAACAUACAAGGAAGGUUGGAUCUAAGCUUACCUCUUGAAGAUCGAGAGGAAAGACGAUCCUAGCUUGGAGAUAGGGAGAAAUCAACUCUUUGGCCUCCAAGCUUCAAAACUUGCUCUUUUUGUUCAAAUAUCUUCAAACCAAGUGAAAACUUGUUAAAACUUAAAAGAUUGGAGGAAAAACAUCAAAAACGAACCAUGGGAGAGCAAGAACUCACCGUGGCCGAAAAUGGGGAGAAAACUCGCCCGUUUCGACCAUGGAGCUCUUAUAUAGGGACUGCCAGACCACCUUUCGGCAGCCUAAAGUGCCUCCAAAACUCAUGCAAGUUCGGCGGCCGAACAUGAGGUUCAGCGGCCGAACCUUUGAAACUUUCGGAAGCCUAACUUGCCCCCCCUAAACUAUCCAAUGUUCGGCGGCCGAACAUGGAAAUGCCUCCUUGGUCUUUUUCAUUCAAAAACUCAAUUCUUUUCUUGCUUAAAACUAUAAAAUACAUUAAAACAUUUUAUGAAAACAUGGUUUUUACCCUUCUAGAGGUCUUUGACAUCCGAGAUUCCAUCGGACGGUAGGAAUUCCGAUACCGGAGUCUAGCCGGGUAUUACAGGAUGGGUAGAGGGGUUUAUAGUGGUGGAGCUGAAGAAGGAAUCUGGGCUGGUUUGGGAGCUCGAUCUUCCUUAGGAGGAUGUGUCUCUGGGUUGCAAAGACUUGCCCCAGUUGAGCCUUACCGAUCAGGUUGGGUUCAUUCGACUGACUUCUGCAGAAAAGAAGUAUGACGUCGAAAAGUAUCUGUACGCGUCCAACCUUCGGGAUAUCAAGGACGCGGGUACUUUAUCCCAUUUGCCUGUUUUGCUUUGUUUUAAUUGAUUUUUGCUGAGAAUUGCCCUAACUUGUUCAGAUUUUGUAUUUUUGCAGCUUUCAGCGUGAAGAUGGACCAGAUAAAGCCUUCCAAGAAUUUUACGCUGUCCAGAGAUAGCAUGAACGCUGCGUUGGACGCCCUCCUGGCGGGGCAAUCGGUGGGAGAGGCCACUCAGAGGGUGGCUGAAGGCAUAUCUUCACGGUCGGCUAGCCGGCCUCCUGUCCCAGUUUCCACCCAAGUUCAAAAGCCGAGCUCCAAGGGUGCUAGAUCCUCGAGGCCGUCCAGCCGUAGCAGGUCGAGCUCGGCCCCUCAAGCUGUUCGAGCCCCCAGGUCCCCACGGACUUCCAGGCUGGGCGAGGACGCCGGGUUGACGAGAACGAAGCCUGCCCCGCCCUCUGGUGACGCUUCUAGGGAGAGGCUCGAGGCCUCCAUAGCUAAGGCGAGGGUCCCUGCAAGCGGGACUGAAAUCGUCCCUGUGGAGAACGUUCAAGGGUCCCCAGUCGAGGAUGUUCAGGGGGCUUCUGCCGAGGUCGCCCCAAUUGUUGAGGAGAGGGAGCCCGGACCAACCAAGGAGGUUGUCUCUGAGGGCGUUUUGGAGAAGGUUGGGGGCAAGCGUCCUUCCUCUUCUGACGCUCCUGCCCCCGCACCUAAGAAAUCCCGGGCCUCCCGUCGUACUGCCCCCGCUCUGCCCCCGCUCGAGAAAAGAAGACUCCGGUGGUGCCCCUGCUUUCUGCCCCGAACAAUGACAUCCUGAACGCAGAGGACAUCACCCAUCAGUCCCCAGCGAGCGUGGUAGCCGAAAUAAUCCGGGAGCGGAUGUUUGGUGGGGUCGCGGAGGCCUCGGACCCCCGCCUGUUGGCUCUCACCAGCAUCCUGGCCAGCUCUACUCAAGAGCAGGUGGCCUUCCGGGCUCGGUCCAGAGAACAGCUGGGGGAUACUGCCAGGGAGAUGCUCUUGAUGGUAACCUGCACUUAUCUUUUCUGUUUUUUAUUACUUUUAUCUUUUGUUACCUUCUGACUUUAUUUAUUUUCUCUUUUGCCAGGCAAUGGGCAUCUUCAUGGAGAUAGAUGCUCGGGAUCGCACCCUCAGGGACUCAGUGGACCGCCGUAUUGAGGAGGUGCAUGUCGAGGAGAACCUGUCGGCAUCUAGCGAUGCCCGGAGCAAUCUCGCGGCUGCCCGAGAGCACUCCCGAUCCCUCCAGAUAGAGCUGACUUCGGCGAUAGAGGCCCUCAAAAGGGCUGAUGGGAAGGCAGCUGCAGCUGAGACUAGCCGAAACGAGGCGUUGAAGUAGCUGUCUUCCCUAGAGGGAGCCUGGAGGGAGAGAGACGAGGCUAUGAGCCAAAUGGAGGAGGUUCAGCGCCAGCAUGAGUCCCUGAAGACAGAUUUUAAUGUCAUGCUGGCUCGAAGAGAAGAGGCCCUGGCUCGGGUUGUGGUCCUUGAGCAAGAGCUGGCCAAGCGGGCUGACAGAGAGAGGGACCUGGUCCUGGCAGUAGAAAUGACUAAACUUCAAAAUCAGAAUCUCUGCCAGGAGGUCGAGGCUCUCAAGAAGAGAUGUGCGGCCUUGCUUGAGGACGCCAAGCAUGCUGAGGAUAGAGUUCAGCUAGAGUGCGAGGAGCGCCUCAGGGAGUACAAGGAGUCGACUGAGCUAAAAGGGGAAAUCCAGCAGGCCUGUGAAGCUCAUCUCAAGAAAUAUAAGGAGUCUCCUGAAUUGAAGGCUGAGAUAGUUGAGGCCUGUGAGGGACGACUUGCGGAGUUUAAAGCUUCUGGCGAGAUGAAGACCGCCGUUUGGAAUAAAAGCUUCCGCAUGUUCGUCUCUGGAUACAACAGGGGCCUAAGGACAUUCAGAUAUGCUCCCUCCACCCCGUUGGCUGAACUCUGAGCUGCGGAGGAAGACUCUGACGGCGAGGAGGUGCUCUACGGGGAGGAUGACAAGCCUUUGCCUAAAGGAGCUCCUCGCGCUGCAGCUGGCCCUUCCGAGGCAGGUACCGAGCCAGGGAAUCAAGAUGCUGGGCCUCCGGGGCAGGAGAUUGUGCCCUUCACGGGUGCUGGGGGGUCUGUGCAGGAGGGUACCAGGCCUCCCCUUGACAGCAAUGUAAAUAAUGUAAACGCAAAUGAAGAUAGUGUAGACGAUGUACCUAGGAGUGUUAGUCCCUUAAGGACUGUUUUCCCUUCAGUAGAGUAGGUUGUAAUUGUAACUUUAUUUAAUGAAAUUUGACUUUUACUUCUCUAUAUUUGAAUUGUUUCUAUUUUGUUUGCUGUUCAGGCUUUACCGAACUACUUAUGCUUUUAGAGUGAUGAGCAGGGCUAACUUUUAGCCUUCAGUUCUGUUCUUAUAGGGAUCGAGGCUGGGGCCUUGUCUGCUCCUGCUUCAGGCUUCCUUUUGGAUUGUAAGAGGCGUGUUGCUUCAGUUUGCCCUUGAGCUUCCUGAGUUCGGCCCCUUUCUUGCUUAUUUUUUCAGGCUUGUAUUUGCGUGUUUCAGGUCGGUAUUUUUGGUUUUAUGCCGCUUUCGCCUCUUUGAUUCUCUAUCUGAGCAUUUGGUUCGCGGGUGUGUCCCGGUUAGUAGGGUUUUUUGCUCCCUAGUGUUUUCUGGGUUGUAUACUCUCGAGCGUUUCGAGGUCGGUAUCUUAUCAGCCUGUAAUCCGAGUUCGGAUUUAGACAUUUUAUUUCUGUUUCAGCACCGUUUUAAGGUCAGCAGGACGCUUUGCCUUCUUUGGCGGUUGUGUGAGAUCAGAGCAUCUUUUCCUUAGGUCCCGAGCUCCUUUGGGAGGUCAGAGUUUAGUUUUUCGUUGGUGAUUCAGGGCCCCAUCUUUCGUGUGAGAUCGGAGCUGUGUUCUUAUGAGUUGUUUUCGCGUGCUGUCACCGCAUGCCGUUGCUUGCUGUGAGCAUGUGGCGCCGGGAGAUCUUGGGGAUCCUGGUCUUGCGGCACUGGGAGAUCUUGGGAAUCCCAGUCUUGUUGUGCCGGGAGAUCUUGGGGAUCCCAGUCUUGUGCUUUGUUGAGGUCUUAUUGUUUCAGUUCGGCUUCUUGAGCUCUUGUGCCUGUUUCAUUUUUCUUUUUGUUUCUUUCACGAAAGCAAUAUGAGUAAUAGAAAAUGAAGAAUUUGGACGAUAACAACGUCUUACUUUAUUAUCAUGCUUUAAAAUACAGUCAAUCUUUUUACAUUUGAUAAUAUCUUAGGGGAAGUAUCUUUUCAAAUGUUGGAUAUUCCAGGCAUGAGGCUCAGGGUUUCCCUGCAUGUCCUCGAUUCGAUAUACCCCCGGCUUGACCACUUUUGCUAUUCUGAAGGGGCCCUCCCAGGUCGGCGCUAGCUUCCCCACUGCCGCUUUUUUUCCAGUAGCUUCCAGGUUUCUCAGGACCAAAUCUCCUACUUUCAAGUUUCGUUCUCUGACCCUUUGAUUAUAAUAACGAGCCGCUCUUUGCUGAUAGGCGGCAGUACGGACCUGAGCUUCCUCCCUGACUUCCUCCAGAGCGUCUAAAUUACUUCUUAAUUUAUCAUCAUUGGUGCUCUCACUAUUGAAUUAGACUUGAUGGGUGGGGACCUGCAGCUCGAUUGGAACCACAACUUCAGUUCCAAACGUGAGUGCAAAAGGCGUUUCUUUAGUGGACGCUCUGGGGGUAGUUCGGAGUGCCCAUAGGAUGCUAUUAAGCUCUUCUGCCCAGUUUCCUUUGCCCCAUCUAGCCGCUUCUUUAAUCCCUAGAGGAUGGCUUUGUUAGUGACCUCUGUUUGACCAUUGGUCUGAGGAUGGGCUACUGAGGAGAAUUUGUGCCAGAUACCCAUGUUCGCUGUAAACGCUCUGAAGACACUGCAGUCAAAUUGUUUGCCACUAUCUGAGAUGAGUAUUCUCGGUACCCCGAAUCUACAGAUGAUGUUGCCCCCACACGAAGUCUAUCAUCUUACGAGCUGUGAUCGUGGGGAUCACCUCUGCUUCUGGCCAUUUUGAGAAGUACUCCACAGCCACCACCACAAAUUUCUUCUGCCUCGUGGUCUUGGGAAAGGGUCCCAGGAUGUCUAUUCCCCACUGCGAGAACGGCCAUGGGCUGGAUAUGCUGGAUUGAGGAGUGGCUGGGACAUUGAUGGCAUUAGCGAACCUCUGGCAUACAUCGCAUCUUCGAACGAACUCCUCAGCUUCUUUUUUGACAGUGGGCCAGUAGUAUCCCUGCCUGAAUAUCUCAUUUGUCAGCGUUCCUACUCCUUCAUGAGCUCCGCACAUUCCCCUGUGUAUUUCUUCCAUCACCUUUAUUGCCUCCUCCGGGCUCACACAGCGGAGCCACGAGCUGAAUUUUCCCCUUCUGUACAAAGUCCCCCUUACUGCUUGAUAAUUGGCAGCUCGGGCCGCUAUUUUCUUUGCUUCAUCCUUAUCUUCGGGUAACUUUCCCUUCUCCAAGUAUUCCAGGUACGGGGUCAUCCAGUUUUGGCUUUGCUCUACUUGCAGUACAAUGGCUGUUUUAUUAAAAGCUGGUGUGCUGAUAUGCUGUAUGUACACUUCGUCUGGGAGUUGCUCCAGCUCUUCCUUGGAUAAUCUGCUGAGCAAGUCUGCCUCCUCAUUUUCCUCCCGAGCUAUUCUUUGAUACCUAACUGUGAUCCCCCGACCCUUGAGUUCGGCUUCUAUAGCCUUUACCUUCGCUAGGUAGUUUUGCAUGGUAUGGUCUCUGGUCUGAUAUGCCCCUGUUACCUGGUUGAUCACUAGUUGGGAGUCACUGUUUAUCUCAAGAUCGGUCGCCCCUACUUCCAUUGCCACCAGCAUUCCGUUUAUUAGGGCCUCAUAUUCUGCCACAUUAUUGGAGGCCUUGAAUUCUAGGCGCAGGGCGUAACAGACUUUGAAACCCUCAGGUCCUUCUAGCUUUAUUCCUACACCGCUGCCCCCAGUGCUGGAUGCCCCAUCUACAUAUAACUUCCAACUAAACUCUUGAGGACUGUCCUUCUCUUUCAUUCCCUAACCCUUCCAAAGAUGACUCGCCCCAUUCCAUUCGUUCUUCAUUGAACGAGCACUCUGCUAUGAAAUCAGCAAGGGCUUGAGACUUUAUGGUGGUUUGAGGUCAGUACUCUAGACAGUAAGGGCUAAUCUCAACAGACCAGGCCAACAUCCGACCUGAGGUUUCUGGCUUGCGGAGAAUCUUCUUCAGCGGCUGGUCUGUCAUUACUACCCCCUGGUGGCUUUCCAGAUAGAUCCUGAACUUCCGGACUGCUAGCAACAGAGCAUACGCCAUCUUUUCGAUGUUCAGAUAUCUGACCUCGGCAUCUUUAAUCUUCUUCAGCGGCUGGUCUGUCAUUACUACCCCCUGGUGGCUUUCCAGAUAGAUCCUGAACUUCCGGACUGCUAGCAACAGAGCAUACGCCAUCUUUUCGAUGUUCAGAUAUCUGACCUCGGCAUCUUUAAGCACCUUGCUAACGUAAAACACUGGCUUCUGCUCUCCUCCCCCUACUCUCACCAAUACUGCACUGACUGCUUGCUCUGAGGCUGCCAAAUAAAUCAGGAGCUCUUCUCCUUCUUGUGGGCUGCUGAGUAUAUGAGGCGAGCUGAGAUAGCUUUUGAGCUCUUUGAAAGCUUCUCGGCAAUCCUCAGUCCAUUCGAAGUUCGGCACUUUCCUCAACUUCUUAAAGAAUGGCAGGCAUCUCUCUGCCGACUUCGACAUGAAGCGAUUGAGCUCCACCACUCUCCCAGUAAGUCUCUGGACGUCCUUUACGCAGGUCGGCUCAGGCAUGUUCAAGAUGGCUUCCACUUUCUCAGGAUUGGGCUCAAUGCCUUUCCCACUCACCAUGUAUCUCAGGAAUUUUCCUCCUCGGAUAAAGAAGGCACACUUCGCCGAGUUCAGCCUCAUUUUGUAUUGUUCUAGCACCUCGAAUACCUCCUUCAAAUCUACCAGAUGUUGCUGAAAAGUUGAGCUCUUCACCACCAUAUCAUCCACAUAUACUUCGACAUUCCUGCCGAUCUGAUUUUUAAAAAUUUUGUUCAUCAGUCUUUGGUAUGUUGCCCCGGCGUUCUUUAGCCCGAAAGGCAUGGCUUUAUAACAGUAGGUUCCAUCUUCCGUUAUGAACGAGGUUUUUUCUUCAUCCGACCUGUCCAUUGAAAUUUGGUGAUAACCAGACAUAGCAUCCAAAGACGAUAUGUAAUCAAAUCCGGCCGUAGAAUCGACCAUUUUAUUAAUAUCAGGGAGGGGGUAACAAUCUUUAGGACAUGCUUGAUUGAAGUCAGUAAAAUCUAUACACAUCCUAUAUUUGCCAUUGGCUUUUUUGACUAAUACAGAAUUUGCUAGCCACUGCGGGUACAUGACCUCUCUGAUGAAUCCCGCCUCUUCUAGUUUUUGUACCUCCUCCCUGGUGGCCUGUUGCUUUUUCCUUCCUACCACCCUCUUCUUCUGCUUCACCGGCCUGGCUUCCGGGAGGACAUUCAGCUUAUGGGUCAUCACUCUGGGGUCAAUCCCAGGCAUGUCAGAAGGCUUCCAGGUGAAGCUAGAUGCGUGAUCUCGUAUCAGGGCCAUAACUUCGGCUUUCUGCUCUUCAGUGAGACCGGCAUUAAAGCUGAAGACCUUAUAUGUUUCUGCUUCUGAUAGAGGAAAUGUCUCCAGCUCUCCGACCGGCUCUGUUCUGGCUUUUUUUUUUUCUCAUCUCGGACCUCCAGAACCUCCGAGUCAAGCGGCUCCCUUGUGGGGCUUGGCUCUGAUACCGUGGCCAGGUACACUGCCCUUGCCUCUUCCUGGCUUCCUCUGACUACUUCCAUCCCUGCUUCUAUUGGGAAUUUCAUGGCCAGAUACCUGAUGCUAGUUACGGCCUCAAAAUCAAAUAGCACAGGUCUUCCCAAUAUCGCGUUGUAACUCAGGGGGAGUUUGACAACCAGAAAUACUGCAUAGUGAGUGCGAGUCCUGGGUGCUUCUCCCAGAGUGAGAGCUAAUUUUACUUUUCCCUCCAUAGGGACUAGGACUCCUCCGAUCCCUUUAACCGGGGCCUGGUCCCAAACCAAUUGCUCCUCAGGGAUUCCCAUCUGCUGGAAUACCCUGUAUAGCAGCAAAUUCACUUUACUCCCGUCAUCCACCAAGAUCUUCUUAACCCAGUAGUUGUGGAUGACGGCUUCAAUAACCAAGGCGUCGUCAUGAGGCAUUUGAACACCCUGGGCAUCCUCCAGAGAGAAAGUGAUGGUCAUUGGAGAGUGCUUAACUACCUGCAUGAUUUCAGCGCUGCUGCUUCCCCCUUCUCUACUCCUCUUCUUUCCCCUCUGGCUCAUCCGACCUCCGGUUCCCCCGACAAUCAUGUUGAUGGUCCCACUGGACCCAUCAUUUACCGGUCCCGCUUCCGUCCUCCUGGGUGUUUGUGCUACUGAGUUUGGCUGAGGCCUUGGUCCCUCCGGCUUCUUCACAAAGUUCCUGAGGUGUCCCCUCCUUAUCAGCCUUUCUAUCUCCGUAAUCAAUUGGUAGCAGUUGUUAGUGUCAUGGCCGUGUGUACGAUGAAACUGACAGUAUUUGUCAGGAUCUCGCUGAUUUGCUUCCGCCCUCAUAGGCCUGGGCCAUUAAAGGAACUCCUGGUUCUGCACUGCCAUGAGCACCUCGGCUCUGGAGGCAUUAAGCGGGGUCAGGUUCUCCGGAAUACGCGGAGGGAACGGCUUUUGUUCUGGAACUCGGGGGGGGAAGGGUCUCUGGUCUCUCCGAUCCCAUGGCUACCUGUAGGGUUCAGGCUUCCUACUCUGUUUCUUCUCGUGCCUUUCCGACCUCCUUUCUUCGGGGGCCUUUCCUUUGUCUUCUGCCCCUUUGGCAAACCUACUUGUCACUAAGGCAUCAUCUUGCCUUAUGUACUUUUCUGCCCUCUUCAUCAGCUCUGCCAACGUAGUGGGGGGCUUUCUACUCAACGAGCCAAAAAACUCGGGGGAGGUCGUCCCCUUCUGCAUGGCCUCCACUGCGCGGCCUUCAUCCAGUUCGGGGAUCUGCAGGGCCUCCGUGUUGAAACGGGCAACAUACUCCCUCAGUGAUUCAUCUUUUUUCUGCCUGACCGUCUCCAAGUAGCUGGUCUUUCUAUCUGCUGGCACUCCGGCUAUGAACCGGCUAUGAACCGGCUGAUGAAGGCAUUGGCUAGGUCUCCGAAACUUCUGAUGCUCCCAGCCUCCAGGCUAUUAAACCACGCCCGUGCCGGCCCUGUUAGCGUCGUCGGGAAUACCUUACACAUCAAGGCAUCCGAUAGGGUCUGCAACUCCAUGAAAGUCUUAUAGUUCAAGACGUGCUCUCUGGGGUUUCCGGCUCCAUCGUAUGCGGUCAUGGGCGGCAUCAUGAACUUCUUGGGGAUGGUCUCCUGCUGCACCCACUUCGAGAAGGGUGAAGAGAUGGGCAGGAGAGUCUGAUUUUGAUUCUUGGUCCCCAACUCAGCCAAAAGCUGCUCUCAUCUUCUGCAGCUUUUGGUCCAUGCUCUCUUCCUCCUAUCUGGGCCUUUUCUCCAGGCGACAUUCCUCCUCCCAGGCCUCACUUCCCGUUCUUCUGGUUGUUCCGGCAGAAUAACUGUCGGCCUCGUCAUUUUCUAUCAGCUCCCUUACCCUCCUUCCAUGAACCCUGGCCUCUGGUUCCUCUCCUCCCCCGGUUCCUCGCCCCCUUUCUCCAGUUUCUCUGCUGAUAGUUUGGGGAUGGUUGAAGGUAGGCUGUGGUUCGUUGGUCCGGGGUUCUUCUACCACCGGCAACACAUUCACUGGGGUACUGAGGCCCAUCUGUUGCAUCAUCUGCCCCAGCCAAUGGGCAGUGUUUUGUAACUGGAGGGCCAUGGCUUGGAGGUCUUAGUUAGAUAAGGUAGCUUCCGGCAUAUUCCCUGCCAAGCUUGGCGAGGGGUUGAAAGGGAUUAGUGGUUGGUUGUUUGGAGUUGUGGGACUGGAAAAGGAAAACUGCUGCCCCUCUUGAGCAUAGCUUAGGUCGUUGGGAGUGUUAAUGGUGUUGUUCUCAUUAUGGUUAGCCAUUGUGGAUCUCAGUGGGUAUUGUAAGAGUGGAACUCCGGUGAUGAGAAGAUCUCCUUCGUUCCCACAGACGGCGCCAAUUGAUGAUCUGAGAUCCAGAAAAUAGAGUUUUACAAGGGUUCUGUAAACUUGGGAAUCACUUAGUCUGAAAGGAGAGUGAUCCUCCCCUUUUAUUCUUUUCCUUUGUCUGUCAGUGACGUGUAACGGUCUCGCUUCCAUUGGGCCACCUGUCCUUGCCAUACUGAUACGAUCGUACGAGGGUAUCAGGUCUCUGUUUCAUGCGUAACGGCCAUUUAAUUCUCCUCUGGCACACAUGCGGAUGGACCCACCAGUCGAAUGGGCUGGCCAUUUUCCUUCUCCCGGGUUGAGCUGGAAGGUGAAAUUGAGAUUGGGCCUAGAGGAGGUCUGAUUAGUGGACCAAAAGGGUUGGCCCGAACUGAUUGGGAAAUGUAGGUUGAGCCCGGUCCUAAGGUUGAGCGGGAUGGAUCUGACUCAUGUAGGAGACUUAGAAGCCUUUGGAUCAUGAGCUGUCAUCAUGGGUCUGGCCUUAGACCGAGGUAGUGAAAUCCAGCGGUCAUCAAUAAAUUAAUUUAAAUAAUUAUACAUGUAUAAAAUUAAAAUAUUAAAUAUAUGAAACUAAACAUAAGUGAAUAAAAUAAUUUUUUGAUAAAACAUAGUUUUUUGUCUUUUU
rnacentral:lncRNA from 1 species